rnacentral:rRNA from 1 species
GACGAACGCUGGCGGCGUGCUUAACACAUGCAAGUCGAACGAGAAGAGAUGAGAAGCUUGCUUCUUAUUGAUUCGAGUGGCAAACGGGUGAGUAACGCGUAAGCAACCUGCCCUUCAGAUGGGGACAACAUCCGGAAACGGGUGCUAAUACCGCAUAGUUUCUUUUCCGCCUGGAAGAAGAAGGAAAGGUGGCCUUUGCGCUAUCACUGAGGGAUGGACCCGCGGCGUAUUAGUUAGUUGGUGGGGUAAUGGCCUACCAAGACGAUGAUACGUAGCCGACCUGAGAGGUUGAACGGCCACAUUGGGACUGAGACACGGCCCAG